CUGGGGUUGGCUGGGUGACCCUUUGUGGCAUCCCCGGGGUGGCUGGGGAAGCCCAGCUUCAUUCCCUGGAUCUGGGGAACGCUGGGAAUGUUCCAGCAGCUCCAUGGGUGAGAAAAACCCCAAAAGGUGCCGCUAAAGCCGCGAGAGAAACCAAAAACAUUCGAGCAGAAGAUGCUGCAGGAGCUGCUUUGCCCUCCCAGGGGGAGGUGAGAGCUGAGUUGAUUGAGAUGGAAAAUUCCUGAGAUUUGCAAGUCAAAGAAAGACAAAUGAGUUGUAAGAGGUCGAUGCUCUUCUGGGUCAGGGGCUUUAACCAGCGACAAAUCCCUGCUUGUUCCCAGGAUGUGGAAAUUUGGGGGUUGCUACCUGAGCUGAUGAGGAUUCGUGGCUGGAAGUGUGGCCUGGGAAUGCCUGGAAAUGCUGGGAUGGGAGAAGUUUAAAUCCAGGGGUGACAUCUGCGUCCCGAAUUUUGUACAAUUCCACGUGUUACACAGCAAUGAUUUAAUGUGCUCACACAUCUAAUGAAAAGAAUUUGAAUUUAAUGCAAAAAUGAGGAAGAGAUAUGAGGCCAUUUUGACCCCUAAUCCAUCUGCCCAUCCCAGCAGAUCCCAGAGCCUGGAAUUCUGUUCCUAAAUUCCCCAGCCUCAUUUUAACUUCCUUGUGAUUUUCUUUUUCUUUUCUUUUUUUUCCCCCCCCCUCGCUCCUCUAUUUGCAAUUUCAGUCAGCCGAGCGAGAGAGCGCUUGCCACGCACCGAGACAUCCCUUUAACUCCCUUUCCUGGAUGUAAUUUCUCGGAAUUUUUGUGAAAUCCAUCUGCAUGGAUCCCAGUGCAUACAAAUCCAAUGACACCAUUCUAAUCAGCCUUAAAUGCUGCAGCAGCCCGCUCCCAUUUAAGCUAAUAGCUCCCAGCAGGCAAAGGUUGUUAUCCUUUAUGGACCAGCCCUCUGGGGAGCCACAGGGAACAGCUUGGAACAACAGGGAAUGCAUUUGGAAGUUGCCAAACUUUACUUACUGCCUCGCAGGGCUUUGGGAUUUGAGGAGAAAACUCGAGGGAGCUCCAGUUUGAGAAAUCCCAGCGAGUUCAGGGGAUUAACACGUGGCCUUCCAGGCGGGGAUGUUGGAGGCAAAAUCCUUGGGAAAUGCCAGAGCUCUGCUAACAGUUGCUGCUGGUUGGAUGUUGUGUUCCCUGGGAUCCCUGAGGAUGGGCUGCUCCAGCCUCAGCGAUGGAGGGCAGGAGAUCUCCUGUGGUUGUCCCAGAAAUGGGAAAAUGUUCAUCCCAGGAAGAGGAGGCAGCUUUUCUGGAUUUUAUGGCACAGCAGCAGGUCCUGCUUGGUCCCAAAAGGAGACAGAUCCCGGUUGCCCAGGUUGGAAAAGACCUUUAAGACCAUCAAACCCAACCAUUAAAGAGAUGUAAAUGUGCAAAUGCUCCUGGGUGGGGUUUAAUGGUGAGGGUGUGGAAUUCCCAAGGUUUGCCAUGGGAUGGGAUUGGAUCUCUGCCCGCUGUGUGCCCUGGCAGAGCUUCUCCCAAAAAACCAAAGGUGAUCUACAGGAUGCUGGACCUGGAUCAGCUGAGCCAGAGUGUUUAUUCCCCAAAAU
rnacentral:lncRNA from 1 species